CGGCGCCUGGAUCGGCGGCCUGGCCCUCGCGGCGGGCUUCGGCGUGACGUCACCCGCGCCGGCCGGUGCGGCACUGGCGGUACUGG
rnacentral:tRNA from 1 species